AUCAUGGCUCAGAUUGAACGCUGGCGAUGUUUUACACAUGCAAGUCGAACGGCAGCACGGACUUCGGUCUGGUGGCGAGUGGCGAACGGGCGAGUAAUGUAUCGGAACGUGCCUAGUAGCGGGAUAAUACGCGAAAGCGUAGCUAAUACCGCAUAGCCUUCGGGGGAAAGCGGGGACCUUCGGGCCUCGCACUAUUAGAGCGGCCGAUAUCGGAUUAGCUAGUUGGUGGGGUAACGGCUCACCACACGCGGAUCCGUAGCUGGUUUGAGAGGACGACUAGCCACACUGGGACUGAGACACGGCCCAGACUCCUACGGAGGCAGCAGGGGAAUUUUGGACGAUGGGGGAACCUGAUCCAGCCAUCCGCGUGCGAUGAAGGCCUUCGGGUUGUAAAGCACUUCUGGCAGGAGGUAAGAAACGGCACGGGAUACCCUUGUGCAACUGACGUACCCGCAGAAUACACCGCUAACUACGUGCCAGCAGCCGCGGUAAUACGUAGGGUGCAAGCGUUAAUCGGAUACUGGCAAAGCGCAGCGCAGGCGGUUCGGAAAGAAAGAUGUGAAAUCCCAGAGCUUAACUUUGGAACUGCGUUUUAACUACCGAGCUAGAGUGUGUCAGAGGGAGGUGAAUUCGCGUGUAAAGUAAGUGAAAUGUAGAUAUGCGGAGGAACACCGAUGGCGAAGUGGCAGCCUCCGGGAUAACACUGAUUUCCAUGCACGAAAGCGUGGGGAGCAAACAGGAUUAGGAUACCCCAGAAUCCACGCCCUAAACGAUGUCAACUAGCUGUUGGGGCCUUCGGGCUCUGGUAGCGCAGCUAACGCGGUGAAGUUGACCGCCUGGGGAGUACGGUCGCAAGAUUGAAACUCAAAGGAAUUGACGGGGACCCGCACGCGGUGGAUGAUGAUUGAAUUGAUGCAAACGCGAAAAACCUUACCUACCUUGACAUGUCUGGAAUCCCGAAGAGAUUUGGGAGUGCUCGCAAGAGAACCGAACACAGGUGCUGCAUGGCUGUCGUCAGCUCGUGUCGUGAGAUGCUGGGGUUAAGUCCCGCAACGAGCGCAACCUUUGUCAUUGGUUGUUACGAAAGGGAAGCACCAUGAGACUGCCGGUGACAAACCGAGGGAAGGUGGGGAUGACGUCAAGUCCUCAUGGCCCUUGCGGUAGGGCUUCACACGGCUAUACAAUGGUCGGGACAGAGGGUCGCCAACCCGCGAGGGGAGCCAAUCCCAGAAACCCGAUCGUAGUCCGGAUCGCAGUCUGCAACUCGACUGCGUGAAGUCGGAAUCGCUAGUAAUCGCGGAUCAGCAUGUCGCGGUGAAUACGUUCCCGGGUCUUGUACACACCGCCCGUCACACCAUGGGAGUGGGUUUUACCAGAAGUAGUUACCUUAACCGUAAAGUGAGGGCGAUUACCACGGUGAUCUCAUGAUCAGUGAAGUCGUAACAAGGUAA
rnacentral:rRNA from 1 species